UUGUAACCAGGGUGGAUCUCUGUGCCCGGUUGGAGAAUUGUUGAGUAUGCCGGUAGAUAGCCAGUCGGUAUCGAUAGUCCAGCUGGGGUCCGAACUGGGAGGUAGGGAACUGGAGCUGGAAGCCAUGA